rnacentral:rRNA from 1 species
AGCUCCAAUAGCGUAUAUUAAAGUUGUUGCAGUUAAAAAGCUCGUAGUUGGAUUUCUGACUCUUUUUUCUUCCCUUCUUGCUCGACAAGUUCCGGGUGUUGGGUUUGAAUGAGUGUCUUCCUCGUCUGUUAAUUUGCCUCUGGAGCAUUAACUUGCACUGGUUUUGGCAAAUGGACGUCAUUUACUGUGAAAAAAUUAGAGUGUUCAAAGCAAGUAUUAAUUUCUUGAAUACAUUAGCAUGGAAUAAUAAGAUAGGACUUGGUAACUAUUUUGUUGGUUUGCGUUUCCUCGUAAUGAUUAACAGGAACAUAUUGGGGAUAUCCGUAUUUUUUAGUCAGAGGUGAAAUUCUUGGAUUUAAGAAAGACGAACUACAGCGAAAGCAUUUAUCAAGGAUGUUUU